GUGUCAGCCGCCGCGGUAAUACGGAGGGUGCGAGCGUUGUCCGGAAUCACUGGGCGUAAAGGGCGCGUAGGCGGCGCGACAAGUCAACGGUGAAAGCCCGGGGCUCAACCCCGGGUCGGCCGUCGAUACUGUUGGGCUGGAGCACUGUAGAGGCAGGUGGAAUUCCGGGUGUAGCGGUGGAAUGCGUAGAGAUCCGGAAGAACACCGGUGGCGAAGGCGGCCUGCUGGGCAGUAGCUGACGCUGAUGCGCGACAGCGUGGGGAGCAAACAGGAUUAGAUACCCUGGUAGUCCACGCCGUAAACGAUGGGCACUAGAUGCUUGGGGGAGCGACCCUCUGAGUGUCGGCGCUAACGCAUUAAGUGCCCCGCCUGGGGAGUACGGCCGCAAGGCUGAA
rnacentral:rRNA from 1 species